CAGUUGGGCUAUGAAAACAUUGAUCAGGAUGCAUUCCACGGCAACCAUUUCCUUCCUUUUCUUACUUACAGAAAUUACCCUUGUACACCCAACGUGGCCUAUUUCCUUAGAUAAUUUCACUCCAUUUGGUGAAGACAAUGGUGAUAUAUCAAUGUCCAGUCGACUCGAUGCAAUUUCAGACAAAAACAACAUAACGACAGCUUUUCCUUUCUUUGGUCGGAAGUUUACUUCCUUGUAUGUAAGCAGCCAUGGAGUGAUAUCAUUCGAAAAAGUAUUUGCAAGCUACAGGCCAAAACGUUUUCCCCUUGUUGGUAACUUUACUAUAAUCGCUCCAUUCUGGGCAGAUGUUGCAAGAAGAUAUAUAGGUGGCAUUUUUUACAGACAAAACAAUAGCCAAUAUCUACUAGAAGUGGCAUCAAUUGACGUAAGAAAGGCCUUUCCAGGAUUCUCGCGAUUCUCGGCAAUAUGGAUGUUUGUCGCUACUUGGGAGAAAGUACCUUUUUUCGGAAGUUACAACAAUUAUCAUAAUAUGACUAAGAAUAUCACCAACACCUUUCAGGCUGUACUGCUAACCGAUGGCCGCUACUCGUUUGUACGCUUAAACUACCACAACAUUACAUGGACAACAGGAACAACAAGUGGAGGGAACCCAGACAAUGGCCUUGGAGGAAUUGAAGCAGGGUGCGGAUUCAACGCUGGAUUUGGCAAUCAUUCCUACAACGUCACUUUUAAUAAGUAUCGAAGCAUUGGGGUACUGGAUCUUCCUUUCAAAACAAACGUCAACAAAUCAGGAGUGUGGAUGUUCAGGACAGACGAUAUCACAAUACAAGAACCAAAAAGGCGAAUCACGGACGUGGAGGAAGGUCUGUCAUGUGAAUUUUAAUUCAUCAGAAAGAAAAAAGGAAAACGAAAUCAUCGGAAAAUUGAUACGACAUAUUCCUAAAAUAUAGACAGGAUACUUGGACACUUGCAGGAUAUUUCCAUGAAAUAGUCAUGGUUUUACGCUAGCUAUGUAAAUUUCAUGUACUUAUUUACAUGAAAUUUACAGAAUAUUUCCUGGAGUUACAGGUUAAUUACACAGAUGAUGUAAAUUACCUGGAAUUGAUGUAUCACAAUUUAAGUACCGUUUUUUGCGUGCUUCGAUUUGAUUUUAAAUUUUCUCUUGUAAUUCUUGAAUGUAUUCAAUCUGAAAUAACACAACGCACUCUGACUGGCAAGACGAAGGUGAAGUAAAAAAAAUGAAAAGAAAAAAAAGAAAAAUGAGAAUUGAAAAAAGGCCGACAACAAACCAUUAGCAGUCUUAAAGGAUUUUUGGAGAUGAUGUAAAUAUCGGGACUGUUGAACUGACCUGAAAAGUUGAUUACGACAAUUUAAAUUUCAAUGAUGCAAGCCAUGAGGCUGAAUCAAGGCGAAUCUGCCAAAGCAAUAUCCAGUGUCUAAUCGAUGCUAUAGCAACCGGACAGCCAAGCCUUUACGUUGAUGUCCCGAAACGUCACAAAUUAGUUCAAACAAACUUUGAGUAUAACCAGAAGCGAGAAUAGGUGAGCAUGAUUUGAAGUUGUGUGAUGAUAUGGGUAUAAAAAUAACAUGUAAUUAUUUCGGAAAAUCAGGUCUAGAGGAAAAAUCUUCAAUCUACAAAUUUUACAGUUCUUAUCACUAUCUAAAAAAGGCAAUCGAGCUUGCACUGUUGAAAAUUUAUACAUGGUUGUCUAAAGAUAGUCAAUUCGAGGGCUGCGAUGAAUUUUGGUUUCCAUGUUAAUUUUUUCAGUUUACGUGAUUUUCGCUUUGUCUGAUAUCUCUAACUCUUAUUUCGUCCCGUUCACGUGAUUCAAUCCCAACCAGUAAGACAAAAGAAAGAACAACUUUGACACUUUUGGUAUAUUAUCAUACAAAUAAUUUCGAUUUCAUACUUGCUGUCAAUCUUUGGCAUUUUGUAUGAUUUCUAUUGAAACAAUUCAAACGGCCGCUUUAUUAUAGGACAAACAGUUAAGUGUAGACAAGGCUCUAGUUUGUCGAAGCAAGAAUUUUAGACUAAAUGCACAGACAUUUGAUAAUAUGGCAAUGAUAACAAUAAUGCCCAUUCUUUUUGUACUUAUACAAAUUAUUCUCCAUUCGUCUGCGUCGACUAUCGCCUUGGAUGACUUAUUUGGUGAAGAUAAAGGAGGUAUUUUGUUGCGUCUAGGAGAUGAUUACAGCUCAGACAAAAUCAUGAUUUCAACAGCUUUUCCUUUCUUUAGUCGGAAUUUCACCACGUUGUAUGUAAGUAAAAACGAAUUAAGUAUAGUCUGUGUGAAUCAGCAUGUUACGAGGACCGCACGUGUGACGAGCCAGUCUGAUUUCAAUACUAAACAAUUAAAUCUAGAGACGGUAUAGUACGGAUUAGACUGAUUCCAUAAGUCGUAGUAUUCGCUCCUCGAUUUUUCGGUUUGUUGCUAAAAAAAAAGGAAAAAAAAGAGCGACCUGACAGACUGGUGGAAUCAGUCUAAGUAAGGAUAAAAUGUCUCGUCAAAAAACAGUUAUAUCCAUUUUUUGUGCAUAGUCAAUAUCCCUUUUUCUCUGUAUUUAUAUAUACGAACAGUUUAUUAUUUUUAAAAGCAUUCUAUAUUAUUAAAACAAUCAGUUAGUCCCGUGCAAUAACUCAACCUUAAUUCGUCAGUAAUAAUUUUCAGAACGAAAAUCUCGCCACAGACUCAGCUUUGAAAGAUUUCAUGUUGGUGAUCUAUGAAAGAUAAUAUUGCAAAAUAUACCUGAAAUUUGGUUCCGCUAUAGUGGGUAAGUAACGACACUUAUUCCAUUCAGACGUUUUAUUUCUGUGAUUUUUCAUCAAAUUUCCUUAAUCAUAUCCAAAAUAACUCUUAGAUUUUCACUGAAAUGCUAUUUAUAUUACUGAUGACACAAAGUAUAAGGAAGUCGUCUAUAUUUGAGCGCAACCACACGUACGGAAAGUGAAACAUCACGUCUUUGUACCUUAUGUUUCUGUUAGUGGUAUAUUGAUAAUUAGUCAAAUUAACAUCAUACCGUGUCGGUGCCGGAUCCAGAAUUUUUAUAUUUUCUAUAAAGCUUAAACCGAAGGAUUAAUAUGGAUAAGUUGGAUUGAAAUACCGAAAAUAAAAAGGCUAAGACAACAUUCGUUAGUCUCACUCGUAACAUUUGAAAUACAAUCCUAAGAUCAUGAGAACAUACUGAUGAGAUUGUAAGCUAACGGAGAGAUAUGACGCCUGAAAAUAAGAUUUUACCGUUUUCACUCGCUUUAAACUACCAUGCUACGGUGUAUCAACCUUCCAAGCAAAGUCUGUGGGAUAUAUAUCUAAUUUUCAAUCAGUUGUAGCAAUUAAAACACUUUUAUUGCAGGGACUUCUUUAGAAGUUCUUUAGAGCUUUUAAAAUCUUUAAAAUCAGUAAACAAAGUGCAAAUUGUUAAAAAGUACCACUUCUGUUAAAAAUGUCAAGUCGUAAACAUUUGAUUAAAUCUGUCAACGCCCUGUGCUAUAUUUCAUUGAAUUUAUUUAUUUAUUUAUUUAUUUUUUGCAAAUAAAGAAAUCAAAGAAAUAUGGAUUCAUCUGGGUCUCAAGGGCCCGUUUCCUUAAAAUUCUAUUUGUUUUGAUUAUAAUUAUAAUUAUAAUAAUAUUUGAUUCAUCGUAUCGUUCCGAAUUUGUCUACACAAUCAAUCUUCGAGCUCUGUUGCCUGACGGCUUGAUGUAUUGAUAUUCUCAAACAUAAGAGUAAUGUUCUCUUAUAUUCUUAUAUUUUGAACCAAAAUUUCUGACUCCCAAGCAAAAUUCGACCAGUUUCUAUGUGUAAAUUAAACCUAUGCUUGUCAAACUUUUGACUUUCACGGAGUUUAGAAAAAUAUUGUGUUUUCCUUCAUAGCAGUACCGUUUAAGGGAAAGGGUUUCGUAAUCAGGAUUCAUUGAAAAAAGUUUCGCUAUUGUUUCUGAGGAUCUAAAAUGUAUAGUUUAGUGCGGACAACUACAUGCUAUUGUAAUGUAAAUUGCAAGUAACAUUACCACAUUUAAGAGGUAAGUAAAUUACUUUCAUGUAGGACAACUGCUUAACUACAGCUUGAGUUUCUAAAGCUCCAGACAAACUAUCUAUCUGAAGUAAUGCCCAGGAAUCCGUAUCGACUGAUUACCGCCCAGUAUUGUAAGUUGGACCACCUAAAUCAGUUAAAUUGCUUUGCAAUGUUAUUUUUUGUACUACAACACCCGUUUGCAAAAAGAUAGAAAAAUAAUUAAUAAUGAUAAUUGUUUUAUUUAAUACUAUUUUCAAAGUCUAAACUUUCAUUUCAAAUUUAUUCUGCUGAACCAAUUAAGGUAUUUGAUGCAAGACAAUAAUGAAAGAUCACGAUGAAAGAUCACACUAUCAAAAUGAAAGAUCAAAAUCUAAAAUAGAAGCUUUGAAUCAUAUUUUGAAUGGAAUAUUAAUAUAUUUUUUAUAAAUAUUUACCUAUUGUAUUGUAUUGCAUUUUUUCUAGAAGUUUAGUUAAUUAGCAGAGCGAUUCUGAAUUCUGUAUGGGCAUUGACCAAAUAAGGUAAUAAAUCAAUGUUCAAUUCCAAAUAGCUAGGAGACUGGGCUCUACCCUACCACCAUAUAUCUCUGAAUACAGCAUUGAAUCAAUCAGUUGGGCUAUCAAAAGCGUUGGUCAACAUGAGAACUUGAUGACAUUUCUUUUCAUAAUUAGUGUUUUACCUGACUCUAUUGCCUUUAUUUCAUCUGGUGAAGACAGCGGCGAUGAAUCACUGUCAGACUAACCACAAAGGGUGAUAAUCUGAGACAACGUAAUAAUCCACAACUUAUCCCUUAUCUUAUCCCGCAUUGUAACCGCAUUGUUAAGUCCCUUCUUAUUUCAUCUCAUGUAGAACUAUACUCAAGGCCAGGAAGUUACAUUUCUCCUUGGCGUCCUAAGGCUAUCUAGUGUGUCUUUGUGCAAUUUAAAGUAGAUCUUCAUUUUCAAAAUGCCAAAUCGGUUAUUUAAUGUUUGACUCAUAAUUUUGUCGUAUUUCUGGAGUCGAUUCUAUUUGCUUUUCGAUUCUCCCUCCACAAAUAGACCAUAAUUACUAAUACCCUAUUUUGACCCUUUUCUUUUAUAUGUGACCAUUUUUGUCUCAGCGAAAUGCGACGUCCAACUUAUUUUGAUGACAACAACAAUUUGGAACUCUCCUGUUGAAAACUGAUCAGUUCAGUGCUUAAUCCAUGGUUGACGGGCCGCAUUGCUGUAGAGUCUUUGGAGAAGGCAGAUUGGAAACCUUUUUUUGGAUUUGAUAUCCUCUUGAGCACUUCUCACACAAUAUUUGCACAUAUACAUAAUAUCAAUCACGUAACAUCAAAUCAAGCCCAGGGCGGUCAGGUUGUUCGUUAUUGCUCGAUUAGUGCUAAUCCUGGCUUAAGUGUUAAACACAUUCUAUGGAGUCAUGAUUAACGCUCAUUGGCCUUUCAACAAUCCGGCGUCCAGGUGGACUAUGCAAGCAUUAUUAACAACCAUCUUCUUUGUUUUCACACAUAUAGAAAUUCUCUCAUCAUCGUCUAUUGACUUGGAUAACCUCAUUCUAUUUGGCAAAAACAACGGUGAUAUAUUGUUACCUCCAGGAGACGACUAUGAGAGUUCAGGCAAAAUCGAUAUUACGACACCUUUUCCUUUUUUCGGUCAGAAUUUUACUUCCUUAUAUGUGACCAUCAAUGGACUAAUAUCAUUCCAGAAAUUAUUUGUAAGUUUUAAGCCUAAACCGUUUCCUCUUCGUGGUCGUGCUAUAAUUGCUCCAUUCUGGGCUGAUGUUGAUACAACUAAGGGAGGUGCUAUUUGGUACAGACAAAACACAACCACGCACUUAUUAGAAGUGGCAUCACUCGACGUAAGAAAGGCUUUCCCAGACUUCCAACGAUUCUCUGCAAUAUGGAUGUUUGUUGCAACAUGGGAGAAAGUACCAUUUUUUGAAAACAAGAAUGAGAAUAUCACCAACACCUUCCAGACGGCAUUGCUAACCGAUGGCCGUCACUCGUUCGUUCGUUUUAACUACCACAACAUCAAAUGGACUUCAGCGAAAUCAAGCGGAGGAAACCCCAACAGCGGCCUUGGUGGAACUGAAGCAGUGUGUGGGUUCAACGCUGGAUUUGGUAACUAUUUCUACGACAUAACUCGUAAUGGCUAUAGAAACAUUAGUGUAUUGGAUGUCGCUGUCGAAUCAAAUGUCAACAAAUCACGAGUAUGGUUGUUCAGGACAGACGACAUCACAAUACAAGAGGCAAAUUGAUCCCGUCAUCCCGGCCAUACGUUUCAGUAAACGUACCAAAAUUAAUGAGAUAAAACUUUAAACAGCCAUUCCAUAGUAUGUUAAAUUGUUUUGUUUUUGCCUUUUAAUUUACGGCUGUAUGAUUAUUUUGAAGCUCGAAAUAAAGACUUUCUUAUCUUUAA
rnacentral:misc_RNA from 1 species